GCUUACGGCCAUACCACCCUGAGCACGCCUGAUCUCGCAAGCUAAGCAGGGCUGGGCUUGGUUAGUACUUGGAUGGGAGACUUUCUUGGAAUACCUGGUGCUGUAAGAC
rnacentral:rRNA from 1 species